UACGUAGGCAGCGAGCGUUGUUCGGAGUUACUGGGCGUAAAGGGUGCGUAGGCGGUUGUUUAAGUUUGGUGUGAAAUCUCCCGGCUCAACUGGGAGGGUGCGCCGAAUACUGAAUGACUAGAGUGCGGGAGAGGAUAGUGGAAUUCCUGGUGUAGCGGUGAAAUGCGUAGAUAUCAGGAGGAACACCGGUGGUGUAGACGGCUAUCUGGACCGUAACUGACGCUGAGGCACGGAAAGCCGUGGGUAGCAAACAAGG
rnacentral:rRNA from 1 species